GUGAUUGAGGAUUGAUAUAUCAUAACAAACAAAAAACUUCAAUAUCAAAAACUCAUGCUGUAUUCCACUCCCAAACACACACACAAAGAAAAAACAGAUUUUUAUCAAAUAUCAAAACCCCAUUUUUAUUCACACAGCAGUGUCUGUUUUAAAAAAAAAACAUUCCCCCAAUUUCAUCCAUCAAAACCCUAACUCAAAAAUUUCCAAAAUUGAUAUUAAAGACUAAGAAAUUUACCUGAAAGUUCAAGAGAUUUGACAGAGAAACUGGGAAAAUUUAGCGCAAAUCUCAGGUACAAACAUAACUCACAGGCCAACAAAUGUCAACCAAAAAGCAUGGAUUAAAAGCUAGAAACUAAGGAGCAAAGUUGAUACAGAGCAAUAAUCGAGCAAAAUAACUUUGAAUUAAACUCAAAUCUGAACUUCAGAAAGGAAUUUUUACCUGAUUUCGAAUUGGUCUUGUUAUGGAUCGUUUCUCUGAUGCCUUUUCUUGUGUGCGCUUUGCUAAGG
rnacentral:lncRNA from 1 species